rnacentral:rRNA from 1 species
UACGUAGGCAGCAAGCGUUGUUCGGAGUUACUGGGCGUAAAGAGUAUGUAGGCGGUGUCCUAAGUUCGGUGUGAAAUCUCCCGGCUCAACUGGGAGGGUGCGCCGAAGACUGGGAUGCUGGAGUCUCGGAGAGGAACGCGGAAUUCCUGGUGUAGCGGUGAAAUGCGUAGAUAUCAGGAGGAACACCGGUGGCGAAGGCGGUUCUCUGGGCAUUACCUGACGCUGAGGAGCGAAAGCGUGGGGAGCAAACAGG